AUUCGUCUAAGCAUCUCCCUUCCCUUCCUCUCUCCGUCUCUUGUUACAACCUAGCGCAGUGGGUAGCGCCAACACCGCAAUUUCCACUGUGGCUUGCAGUUCUGAUGGUGGGUUAUAUAUAUCAUUAAUGGUGUUAGCAAUUGUGAUGGUGGCUUGCGGCUCAAUGGCAAUGGCAACAUUGAGGUGAUCGUGUCAGUAACAAAGGAGUUGAUUUAAGCCAAGAACCCCAUCAACCGACUUGACCUGUGACGAAACCCGCUCAACCCAGACCCGCCUAAACCUGUGUCUUGUUUGGUCAGAAACGGGUGUAAUUACGUGAACCGAUGGGUUGCUGCAGUGGGACUUUUCAGACCCGAAUCCGACCAAACCCGACCGGUUGAACACCCCUAAUGUUAACCUUCCAUCUUCCCACUAAUGCACAACUUAAUUUAAGGCACCUGGUAGUAGUAAUGACUAUAGUCAUAGUAUAUUGACCAUCUACUUUACCAUUCCACGUUGUGGUUAAGGCCCAAAAGAAUUACCAUUCAUUUGGUAUUUAUUCUACUGAAACCAA